CUUCACUGGCUUCCAAAUGCUCUGCAGCAACCUGGGGUCACGAACGAUAAUGAAACCAGGAAAGGGGUGCUUGGAACUGGAAUUAGCUGAGCUGAUUUGGAGGAGAGACACCCAGUUGAAUGGCCUCUUCUGUGCAGUAAUUGAGCAACGAGAUUUGCAGGAAUGAGAAGAACACUCAUUAAGUGGACAAAGUGCCAAGAGGGUUUAACAGAGUCGAUGCAGAAAGGAUGGUUGGGAGCGGCGCACAUCCAGGGAUUCUCAGAGUAAUAAAAGAUUGAGAUGAAGAAGAACUUCUUCACUCAGAAGGUGGAGAAAACUGUGGAGGUUCAGUCAUUGAAACUGAGUAUAAUAGGUUUCUAUGCAAUUAAAAAAAUGAUGUAAUGUAAGAAAAUGAUGUGGAGAUAGACAAUCACACCUUAUCUAGUUGAAUAGCAGUGUAGGUUUGAGGGGCUGAAUGGCCUCCUCCUGCUUAUAUUUCUAAUGUUCUUGUAUAGAUAUCACCUAUCCGUUCUCUUUAAAAUGAUACAAUUUAACUUAAUUUGCCUCUCUUCAUUCUUGCAAUUUGAGUUCAUCACUUUGCAAUUCUGUGCAUUAAAUUUAAUCCACUUUGAGUCUUUGCAUUCCACCAGUCUGCCUAUCCCCUUUGGGAAUUUGUAACAAAGUUCCUCAUUGUUCACUGCCUUUCUGAGAUUGCUGUCAAGCUGUGAGCUUUGAAAUUAUUCCAUGCAUACCCCAACACAAGAUCACUUCUACAUUCGUAAAGGAGCAAUGGUGCCAAUUCCACUGGGAAACGUCACUGCAUACCAACCCCCUAAUACGAAAAACAACCAUUCACCUCCACUCGGUGCUUUCUGGUACUUCGCCAACCUGGUGUCCUCACUGCCGCUGUCCCAUUAAUCACAUGGGCCCUCACUUUGCUGAUUCCUUUAGUUCUGAUAUUUGAUUCGCAAACAAAUUAACUUUGGCACUUUAAUCUUCCCAAAUCCUCACCAAAGAACUCAACCACAUCAGUCAAACAUAAUUUGUCUUUAACAAAUCUAUGUUAGCCAUCACUUAUUUGCCCAUAUUUAUCACCACAAUUCAGUUGUCACAGAUUAUUGUCUCAACAUUAGGCUUACUGCCCUGUAAUCAUUGGGUUUACCCAUCAAACCACUUACGUAGAGAAGUACAGCAUUUCUAAUUCUCGCUUCAUCCAGUGGUUCUAUUCUAUCUGUGGACGAUGGUGGUCAGACCCUCCUCCAUUUCUUCUUUACUUCCUCCAGCAGCCUAAGAUGUUGUCCAUCCUGGCCUCUGAGUUCUCUACUUACACAGUAACAAGAUCUGACCGAGGUUCUCAGACACGUGGAUGGGCUCCUAGGGAGAAGCUCUUCCUGUUCGUAAAAAGAAUAACAAUGAGAAGGUGUAGAGUGAAAGUGAUUUUCAAAAGAAACAACGGUGAAGUGAAGACAAAUGUUUUCAUAUAACCAAGGAGUUAGGAUAGAGAAUGGAAAUGUGGUGGGGGAAGGUUCGGUUGAGGCUUUCAAGAGGAGCACUGGAUGAUUAUUUGGAUAAAGUAGUGUGUAAAGAUACAGGGAGAAUGUGGGAGAUUGGCACUAGGCAAUGAUGCUUGUUUAAGGAGCUGACACUGGCAUGGUGGGCCGAAUAGCUUAUUUCUGCACUGUAACAGUUCUGUGAUUCUUUGAGCACUUUUCAGUAACUUGACUUUAUUUUUAUCCUUUCCAGACUCAGUACCCUUCCUUACUUGCGGUGACAGAAACAGCAUCCUCUUUGAUAGUGUAGACAGAUGGAAGAUAUUUAUUUAGUGUCUCAGCCAGGCCUUCAGCCUUUACAUAAAGAUGCCCUUUCUGGCCCGAAAUUAAUCCCACCUUGCCUUCAACGAGUUGAUCAUAAUUUAUAAGUUUCUACACUUACUUUAAUGUUACACAGACAUCUCUUCUCAUAUGCUCUUUUUGCCUCUCAUCUUUGCUUCACUUCUCUUUUGUACUUUUUGUGUUUAGUUUGGGUCUGUGGUACAUUAUAAGCCUGACAUUUAUCAUAAGCCUCCUUUAUCUGUUUCAUUUCAAUCUGUAUAUCUUUAGCCACCCAGGGAGUUAUGGCUUUGAAGGCUUUCCCUUUCACUGUGAGAAUCUAUCUUGUCUGUCCCCAAACUAUCUCCUCUUUGAAGGCCUCUCAUUAAAUGUUACACUGAAAGAAUGAAGUGGAAGUCAAGUGUUGAUGCUAUCUCCAUAAUCAGUUAUGUUCGGUAAUGAUAA